UUUCAUUCAAGCCGUCUUUUCUUCCUAUUGGUAAUAAGAAAAUUCUGACUUGAUUGAUUCC
rnacentral:pre_miRNA from 1 species